NNNUGUGAGGGCGAUCUGACUGCGACAUCUGUCACCCCAUUGAUCCCCAGGGUUGAUUCGGCUGAUCUGGCUGGCCAGGCGGGUGUCCCCUUCCUCCCUCACCUCUCCAUGUGCCUCCCUCCCAAAGCUGCACACUCGGUUGAAGAUGACGACCUUCCCCGAAUAGAGGAGGUCCGGUCUUCGGUCAGGGCAUACGAGCAGCUGCGCUCCCCUGCUAGAACCUCCAAACAAGCUCCCAAAGGGAAAAGUGGGGGCAGGGUAUUACCAUGGGGUAUUGAUUACAAUCGUAGAAAUUGUUAAUAAAAAAUUU
rnacentral:snRNA from 1 species